rnacentral:piRNA from 1 species
UUCUGAGCAGUAGUUCUCAACGAUGGGUU